rnacentral:rRNA from 1 species
UAGGGAAUCUUCCGCAAUGGACGAAAGUCUGACGGAGCAACGCCGCGUGAGUGAAGAAGGAUUUCGGUUCGUAAAACUCUGUUGUUAGGGAAGAAAAAAUGUAUAGUAACUAUAUACAAAAGAGACGGUACCUAACCAGAAAGCCACGGCUAACUACGUGCCAGCAGCCGCGGUAAUACGUAGGUGGCAAGCGUUGUCCGGAAUUAUUGGGCGUAAAGCGCGCGCAGGUGGUUUAGAAAGUCUGAUGUGAAAGCCCACGGCUCAACCGUGGAGGGUCAUUGGAAACUAAUAAACUUGAGUGCAGGAGAGAAAAGUGGAAUUCCUAGUGUAGCGGUGAAAUGCGUAGAUAUUGGGAGGAACACCAGUAGCGAAGGCGGCUUUCUGGACUGCAACUGACACUGAGGCACGAAAGCGUGGGUAGCAAACAGG